UGGUGGAGUGAUUUGUCUGGUUAAUUCCGUUAACGAACGAGACCUCAGCCUACUAUUGUAGUUUAUGUUCUUAUCGCUUUUCUCAUUCUUGUGAUGGGUUAUGUGAUAGGGCAAACUUCUUAGAGGGACUGUCAGUUUUCAGCUGACGGAAGUUUGAGGCAAUAACA
rnacentral:rRNA from 1 species